AUUCCGAUUACUCAUCCCCUCUUCUACUAUGCAGGUAACCCAUAGGUAGGAAGCUUAGGGCGCAGCGGAACGGAUAGCGGCCGGUGUAGAUUGGAAGUGGCAUAAGCAUAAGCGGACUAUCUUUUGGAAUGUAUAAUUACAUUCUUUUCAUUUUGACACUAGGCCGUGAGCUCAAACUCUGAUAUUUUGUAUUGUAAUGUUUUGUAAAACGCUUUCUACCUAUUAUUAAUAAAAUGUAUGUUUAUAUUCGUAGUUGUGUGUUAAAUGAUACUAGACCUUGUCCGGGUCGACACAACUCGAUGAUUGAGGUACGGGUUGUGAAGCCUUAGGCCAUGACAUCAAGGUCAUAGCAAACUGGAACGGAUUGGUCGAGAGUCUUGACUUGUUCUUGAUUCUUGGUCGAACAGGUACGGUGAGCUAUACUUGUGGCGCUCCCAGGACGUACCGGGUUAGUCCGGCCUGGUACGGUCCGGGGGUGUUACAGUCGGGGGCAUUCGUAUUUCAUAGUCAAAGGUGAAAUUCUUGGAUUUAUGAAAGGGGAACAACUGCGAAAGCAUUUGCCAAUGAUGUUUUCAUUAAUCAAGAACGAAAGUUGGGGGCUCGAAGACUAUCAGAUACCGUCCUAGUCUCAACCAUAAACGAUGCCGACCAGGGAUCAGCGGAUGUUGCUUUUAGGACUCUGCUGGCACCUUAUGAGAAAUCAAAGUUUUUGGGUUUCGGGGGGAGUGUGGUUAAACGAUGCCGACCAGGGAUCAGCGGAUGUUGCUUUUAGGACUCCGCUGGCACCUUAUGAGAAAUCAAAGUUUUUGGGUUCCGGGGGGAGUAUGGUCGCAAGGCUGAAACUUAAAGGAAUUGACGGAAGGGCACCACCAGGAGUGGAGCCUGCGGCUUAAUUUGACUCAACACGGGGAAACUUACCAGGUCCAGACAUAGUAAGGAUUGACAGACUGAGAGCUCUUUCUUGAUUCUAUGGGUUGUGGUGCAUGGCCGUUCUUAGUUGGUGGAGCGAUUUGUCCGGUUAAUUCUGUUAACGAACGAGACUUCAGCCUGCUAACUAGCUACGUGGAGGCAUCCCUUCACGGCCGGCUUCUUAGAGGGACUAUGGCCGUUUAGGACAAGGAAGUUUGAGGCAAUAACAGGUCUGUGAUUCCCUUAGAUAUUCUGGGCCGCACGCGCGCUACACUGAUGUAUUCAACGAGUUCACACCUUGGCCGACAGGCCCGGGUAAUCUUUGAAAUUUCAUCCUGAUGGGGAUAGAUCAUUGCAAUUGUUGGUCUUCAACGAGGAAUUCCUAGUAAGAGCGAGUCAUCAGCUCGCGUUGACUACGUCCCUGCCCUUUGUACACAACGCCCAUCGCUCCUACCGAUUGACUGAUCCGGUGAAGUGUUCGGAUCGCGGCGACGUGGGUGGUUUGCCGUAUGCGACGUCGCGGGAAGUACACUAAACCUUUUCAUUUAGAGGAAGGAGAAGUCGUAACAAGGUUUCCAUAGGUGAACCUGCAGAAG
rnacentral:rRNA from 1 species